rnacentral:rRNA from 1 species
UACGUAGGGUGCGAGCGUUAAUCGGAAUUACUGGGCGUAAAGCGUGCGCAGGCGGUUUUGUAAGCCAGAUGUGAAAGCCCCGGGCUCAACCUGGGAAUGGCAUUUGGGACUGCAAGGCUGGAGUAUGGCAGAGGAGACUAGAAUUCCUGGUGUAGCAGUGAAAUGCGUAGAUAUCAGGAGGAAUACCGAUGGCGAAGGCAGGUCUCUGGGCCAAUACUGACGCUCAUGCACGAAAGCGCGGGGAGCAAACAGG